AUUGAACGCUGGCGGCAUGCUUUACACAUGCAAGUCGAACGGCAGCACGGGAGUAAGUCUGGUGGCGAGUGGCGAACGGGUGAGUAAAGUAUCGGAACGUGCCCAGUCGUGGGGGAUAACGUAGCGAAAGUUACGCUAAUACCGCAUACGAUCUAUGGAUGAAAGCGGGGGUCGCAAAGACCCCGGCGGAUUGGAGGGGCGGAUACCAGAUUAGGUAGUUGGUGGGGUAAAGGCUCACCAAGCCAACAAUCUGUAGCUGGUCUGAGAGGACGACCAGCCACACUGGAACUGAGACACGGCCCAGACUCCUACGGGAGGCAGCAGUGGGGAAUUUUGGACAAUGGGCGAAAGCCUGAUCCAGCCAUGCCGCGUGCAGGAUGAAGGCCUUCGGGUUGUAAACUGCUUUUGUACAGAACGAAAAGGUUUCUGCUAAUACUAUGAGCUCAUGACGGUACCGUAAGAAUAAGCACCGGCUAACUACGUGCCAGCAGCCGCCGUAA
rnacentral:rRNA from 1 species